UGUUGGCCAAGUGAAAUGAUCUAUCAUUGUGUUUGGGAGGUUUUAUUUUCUUAUGUUUUUAAAAUUGGUAAAUGCUUUAUAGAUGUAUUUUUAUCCAAGUGCCACUCCAAUUUGUGUAUGUAAUAAAAUUAUUUAUAUUAAAAGUGGGAAAUAAUUGUCAACAUUUUUUUUGAGUAUAGAUUUAUUAGGGGUGGCAAAGAAGAGUGCUAGUUAGCAGUUUUCCAUGUAAAGUUGUCCUUGACUGAUUUGUCCACAUGUCAGUUGUAACUCCCCCACUCCCUGCAAAAGGAAUUAUUUCUAACCCAGAUGUAUCACUUGAAACUUUUUAGAAGCAAAAUAAUCAGGGAAGUUCCUAGAAAGGUGUUUGGCUUUUUGGUUUUUGAGGGUUGGGGUAAAGAAGACUUCCCCCACAACUGUCAGCACAAAACAGGGUAUUGAUUUUUAACUCUGAUGUUUCUAUUGGAGUUGAAUACUAAAUAAAUAACUAUAAUGAGGGAAAUACAUUUCUAAUAAAAUUCCCUACAUUCUAGAAACAUCCCUGUUUUAAUUUUUUUAUCUAAAUCUUUUUGUGCUUUAUGUGUAAAGAAAAAAAUGUACUGAGUUACAAUGCAUUUUAUUAACACUAUGUACAUAAUAGCUGCUUUGUGUUCAGAAUAGUAGCAGUUGCUUUGUAUAUUAAAGUGAUCCUUGUGAAUUUGUGAAAUAUUGUCAUAAAGUGCUUUUUCUUACUGUAAUCUUUGUGGUAUCAACUGUCAUAAUGCUCUUUUUACACAAACAUUUAUGUGCAGUCACAUAAACAUGCUUUUAAAAACUCUGUAAGUCUCUUUUUUGGGGAUGGGAUCUCUAUAUUUUGUUGGGUUUUUUUUGCUAGUAGUGUGAAGCCAUGUUUUAUUGGACUUAAAGUUACAAUAUAUUACAAGCUUGUGUUGGAAGGCAGCAAAACUAAUUCAGACAACAACAUGUCUUCAGUUACUGGAUCCCUAAUUUUCAGGACAAAACCUGUUUUUCAAUAAGAUUGAACAGUGCCUAUUUGUGGAUUUGGAGAUGUUACUGUCAAGAUGACUAAUGGAGACAUACGACCAGCUGUGUCUGAUGUCAUAAAACACGUGUUCACUGAAAGGACAAUAAGACUAUAUACCUUCUCAGGUCCCCUUGCAAUUCUAAAACUCUGUGAUCAUAUAAAUUGGAAGGAAAGGGGAGGGGAUAUGGUUAAUCUUUGCUUAAGCUGUAAGAAUAAAAAAGUUAUCUCCUAUACUAUUAACUUCUGAAAUAAGUUCUGAGACGAGACAUCUGAAAAUAAGCAGCUGCAUUAUUUGUAUGUUUCUUCACUGCCAAGAUGUGUUCAAGCCUGCUAUACCUGCCAUUGUAUUGGAAGGCUUAAUGAAUUUCAUUUAUUUUCUGCAACAACGAUUACAGAAUUUAUUGCACAAAAUGAGACAUUUUGAGAGUGAUAUUAAUUACAUGAGGGACAAUAGGCAUGAACUAGGAUUGUUCUAAGCAAAUCGGAAUCGGGUCACCCUGCCACGUUCAGGUGCUUGGACCUUCAGGAAAAGAUUGCCCAUCUUGUCAUUUGACCAGGCACUGAAGUGACAAGACCAUCCUUGAGAAGUCACAUCCAAAGAUAAAAUUCUGAUCCAUUUCUAGUUUUAGUGUUUCGCCACUGAAGACUUAACAUAUGUCUUUUACACUCAGGUUGCAAAACACAGGCCCAAGACAAACUUAACUUCUCCCCCAAAUCUUCCUUCCGCUGGUUUUUCCAUCUCGUAAGUGGUGCCACUAUCCAUCUGUUAAAUUGUUUAGGGGAAACCUAGAAAAGCACUACCUUAAUCAGUGUUAUCCUUCUUCUUAACUGUGCGUCCUAAUUUCUCCACAUCUUUCUUAAGUGCAGUGACCAAACCGGAUGAGAAUUCUAACACGGGCCUGACAUCAAAUGGAAAGGAAGGAUAAUGUCCAGGAGUUGGAAUGUUAUCCUUGUUUUUAAUUAAGAUGCAAUUCACAUAAAUUAACUUUUUAAGUGAACAAUUAAGUGGUAGUACAUCCACAAUGGUGUACAACCACCACUUCUAUCUAGCUCCAAAACAUUCUCAUCACUCCAAAAGUAAAGUCCCGUUACUCUCCAUUUUCUCCUCCCACCGCCCUUGUCCCUGGCAACCACCAAUCUGCUUCCUGUUUCUUUGGAUUUACAUCCGGGUAUUUCAUGUGAGACUCAUACACUGUGUAUUACUUCUUUCGUCUAGCUUUAAUGUGUUGUUGAGGUUGAUCCAUUGUAACAUGUUAUCACUACUUCAUUCCUUUUUAUAGCUAAGUAUACUUUUUAUAGUAAGUAUGCCAUUGUAGAUAUAUACCACAAGUUUAUCGAUUCAUCCAGUUGAGUUGUUUCUACUGUUUGGCUAAUGUUCAUAGUGCUGUUAUGAAUGUUCGUGUACAAGUAUUUGAGUCCGUGUUUUCAAUUAUUUGGGGUAUAUGCCUGGGAGUGGAGUUGCUGGGUCAUGUUGAAAUCGCACAUUUAACUUUUUGAGGAACUGUCAAACUUUCCCUCAGCAGCUGUACCGUUUUACCUUCCACCAUUGAUGUAUGAGGGUUCCAAUUUCUCCACACCUUCACCAACACUUAUUUUGCCAUUUUAAAAAUUAUAGCCAUCCUCAUGGGUGUGGUCUCUCAUUGUGGUUUUGAUUUGCAUUUCCCUGAUUACUAAUGAUGUGGAGCAUCUUUUGUUGUCUUUGGCCAUCUGCGUAUCUUCUUUGAAGAAAUGUCUGUUGAGGUCCUUUGUUCAUUGAAAUUUUGUUGUUGGGUUCUGAGUUCCUUAUAUAUUCUGGGUACUAGGCCCUUAUAAUAUUUUCGCCUAUAAGUUUUUGCUUUAUAAUGUCCUCAUUGUUUUCAAACUUACUUUAUGUAAUAUGUACACUUCUAAAAAAAAGAAACAUGGAAAAGGGCAAACUGU
rnacentral:lncRNA from 1 species